AUACUUACCUGGUAGGGGAGACUCCAUGAUCAAGAAGGUGGUUCACCCAGGGUGUGGUUCAGCUAUUGCACUCUGGUUGUGCUGAUUCCUGCGAAUUUCCCAAAUGUGGGAAUCUUGACUGCAUAAUUUAUGAUAGUGGAGUACUGCGUUCGUGCUCUUACCUG
rnacentral:snRNA from 1 species